CCUACGGGUGGCAGCAGUGAGGAAUAUUGGUCAAUGGGCGAGAGCCUGAACCAGCCAAGUCGCGUGAGGGAGUACUGCCCUAUGGGUUGUAAACCUCUUUUGUCGGGGAGCAAAAGCCGGACGUGUCCGGCUGUGAGAGUACCCGAAGAAAAAGCAUCGGCUAACUCCGUUCCAGCAGCCGCGGUAAUAUGGAGGAUGCGAGCGUUAUCCGGAUUUAUUGGGUUUAAAGGGGGCGCAGGCGGAUUUUUAAGUCAGCGGUAAAAUCGUUGGGCGCAACCCCAUCCAGCCGUUGAAACUGGGGAUCUAGAGUGUGCGAGAGGUAUGCGGAAUGCGUGGUGUAGCGGUGAAAUGCAUAGAUAUCACGCAGAACCCCGAUUGCGAAGGCAGCAUACCGGUGCACAACUGACGCUCAGGCACGAAAGCGUGGGUAUCGAACAGGAUUAGAUACCCCAGUAGUC
rnacentral:rRNA from 1 species